AACGAACGCUGGCGGCGUGGAUAAGACAUGCAAGUCGAACGGUGAUUAAAGGGUAGCAAUAUUUUUUAAUUAUAGUGGCGAAAGGGUGCGUAACACGUGGGCAAUCUGCCGCGAAGACUGGGAUAACUUGCUGAAAGGCGAGCUAAUACCGGAUGUGACUGUUGGGAGGCAUUUUCUGACAAUCAAAGUUGGGGACCGUAAGGCCUGACACUUCAUUAUAAGCCCGCGGCCUAUCAGCUUGUUGGUGAGGUAAAAGCUCACCAAGGCUAAGACGGGUAGCUGGUCUGAGAGGACGACCAGUCACACUGGAACUGAGACACGGUCCAGACACCUACGGGUGGCAGCAGUCGAGAAUUUUUCACAAUGGGCGAAAGCCUGAUGCAGCCAUGCCGCGUGGGGGAUGAAGUGCUUCGGUCUGUAAACCCCUGUCAUCUGCGAGCAAACCUUUUCGGUUAACACCUGGAAAGCUGAUAGUAGCAGAAGAGGAAUGGACGGCUAACUCUGUGCCAGCAGCCGCGGUAAUACAGAGGUCCCAAGCGUUGUUCGGAUUCACUGGGCGUAAAGGGUGCGUAGGCGGCAUGGCAAGUUUGGUGUGAAAGCUCCGAGCUCAACUCGGAAAUUGCACUGAAAACUGCCAAGCUCGAGGAUCGGAGGGGAGAGUGGAAUUCUUGGUGUAGCAGUGAAAUGCGUAGAUAUCAAGAGGAACACCGGUGGCGAAGGCGACUCUCUGGACGAUUCCUGACGCUGAGGCACGACGGCUAGGGGAGCAAACAGGAUUAGAUACCCUGGUAGUCCUGGCAGUAAACGGUGUGCACUUGCUGUAGGAGGAUUCGACCCCUUCUGUGGCGGAGCUAACGUGUUAAGUGCACCGCCUGGGGAGUACGGUCGCAAGAUUAAAACUCAAAGAAAUUGACGGGGGCCUGCACAAGCGGUGGAGUAUGUGGCUUAAUUCGAUGCAACGCGAAGAACCUUACCUGGGUUUGACAUGUAUCUAGUACGACCGUGAAAGCGUAACGAACCCGCACGGACAAUUCACACAGGUGCUGCAUGGCUGUCGUCAGCUCGUGUCGUGAGAUGUUGGGUUAAGUCCCGCAACGAGCGCAACCCUCAUGUCCUGUUGCCACCCGAACGAGAGUUCGGAGCACUCUGGACAGACUGCCUUGCUUAAACGAGGAGGAAGGUGAGGAUGACGUCAAGUCAGGAUGGCCCUUACGGCCAGGGCUGCACACGUACUACAAUGCCCGGUACAAUGGGAAGCAAUAUCGUAAGGUGGAGCAAAUCCGUGAAAACCGGGCCCAGUUCAGAUUGUCGGCUGCAACUCGCCGACAUGAAGCUGGAAUCGCUAGUAAUGGCGCAUCAGCUACGGCGCCGUGAAUACGUUCCCAGGCCUUGUACACACCGCCCGUCACAUCAUGAAAGCCGGUCGUACCCGAAGUCAUCACGUUAACCCGCAAGGGAGAUAGGUGCCGAAGGUAUGGCUGGUGAUUGGGAUG
rnacentral:rRNA from 1 species